rnacentral:rRNA from 1 species
UACGUAGGUGGCAAGCGUUGUCCGGAUUUACUGGGCGUAAAGAGCGCGCAGGCGGUCGGAUAAGUCGAAUGUGAAAGCCCCCGGCUCAACUGGGGAGGGUCAUUCGAUACUGUUCGACUCGAAGGCAGGAGAGGGAAGUGGAAUUCCCGGUGUAGCGGUGAAAUGCGCAGAUAUCGGGAGGAACACCAAUUGCGAAGGCAGCUCGCUGGGACGUUACUGACGCUGAGACGCGAAAGCGUGGGGAGCAAACAGG